GAUGACAGCUGGGGAUUUCAGCCUACCUCACAUCAUUUCAAUAUGGCGUCGUUUGUUUAUAAACAGUGGGCGUUUGUUUAUAACAGCGAUAAAAGUAAAGAUGCGAAAAUGCAACAAAAUUAUGUCGUGUCUUAUCAAUAGUCAAUCAAAUUAAUCAAAUCUUCCACGAGUGCAGUCGCAAAGUGAACCCAACAACAAAACCCACGGCGUGGUUCAUGGACAUCCGGGGGCUUCAUCUACAUUGUGUUCGGCUCGAAGGAGAUAGCGCUUGCAAUGAACGAAACGCUGUGCCGGAAUUGCCACACCAAGAUCAACCGAAAGCGCACCAACCAGGCCGCUUUGAGCACCCCAAACGAUUCUCGCUUGACGCAGGCUCCGAACCAUCACUGAGAACGACCAAACCAAACUAAAAUGUACCCGGAAUGAUGUCCACGAUCGCAGAAGGAAUCAACCGGCUGUUUCCCAAAACUGAUGGAACUGACCGACGUCAACGUGCUGCAGAAUCUUCCAGUAUGCGAAUUAUGGGUGUCUUGUCCUAUCAAUUGGUGUUUGGACACGGCUGCCACCUCAUGGAGCAAACGGUCCAGCACCGGCUGAAUCCGGAAGGAGAUCAACAGACAUAUUACAUAAUAAAUAAAUGAAGCUUUGCCCUGUUGCCUGCCCCGAA